UGGGGAAUUUUGGACAAUGGGGGAAACCCUGAUCCAGCCACCCCGCGUGUGCGAUGAAGGCCUUCGGGUUGUAAAGCACUGUUGGCAGGAAAGAAACGUCAUGGGUUAAUACCCCGUGAAACUGACGGUACCUGCAGAAUAAGCACCGGCUAACUACGUGCCAGCAGCCGCGGGAAUACGUAGGGUGCAAGCGUUAAUCGGAAUUACUGGGCGUAAAGCGUGCGCAGGCGGUUCGGAAAGAAAGAUGUGAAAUCCCAGAGCUCAACUUUGGAACUGCAUUUUUAACUACCGGGCUAGAGUGUGUCAGAGGAAGGUGGAAUUCCGCAUGUAGCAGUGAAAUGCGUAGAUAUGCGGAGGAACACCGAUGGCGAAGGCAGCCUCCUGGGAUAACACUGACGCUCAUGCACGAAAGCGUGGGGAGCAAACAGG
rnacentral:rRNA from 1 species